rnacentral:rRNA from 1 species
UUUUAAUGGAGAGUUUGAUCCUGGCUCAGGACGAACGCUGGCGGCAUGCCUAAUACAUGCAAGUCGGACGGAUAUGUUUAAAUGACAUAUCAGUGGCGAACGGGU